UACGUAGGGUGCAAGCGUUAAUCGGAAUUACUGGGCGUAAAGCGUGCGCAGGCGGUUUUGUAAGUCUAUCGUGAAAGUCCCGGGCUCAACCUGGGAAUUGCGAUGGAGACUGCAAGGCUUGAAUCUGGCAGAGGGGGGUAGAAUUCCACGUGUAGCAGUGAAAUGCGUAGAGAUGUGGAGGAACACCGAUGGCGAAGGCAGCCCCCUGGGUCAAGAUUGACGCUCAUGCACGAAAGCGUGGGGAGCAAACAGG
rnacentral:rRNA from 1 species